GAGUUGGGGGAGAGGACCAGAACCACCUGCUGGAGAAGGGGAGCUACGGGGGCCGGGCAGGGUCCAAACGCCUCACGUAGGCGGCGGCGCCACGGUCUUCGGGGUCACAGGGAAGAGAAGGGCUCUCCUCAAGCGGGUGGAAGGAGGGAGGCCUCCCGAGGGAGUGAGACUCUAGGCCACUCCCCCGCAGCAAGGCAGGAUCACCUGCGACGCGGAGAGCGGUUAGAGGGCCCUGGAGUGGAAAAGGGCAGUGGGACCUGGUAGCUUGGGUUCCCUGCAACUUGGGGUUCGACCUCCAGGCAAUGAAGUAGGGAUGGUCCUGCAAGUCAAGAUUCCAGUAGCAAGAGUGCAUCAGAUCUCUGUAAGGAAAAUAACUAACAUUGCUCAGUUCCCUGUAGAGUUGCAGGGCGCUUUAACGUUAUCUCCCUUGGUUCUCCAUCAGGUCGUAGUGGACUAAUUUUACAGGCGAAGUUAAGUGACUUACCCAAAACCUCACAGCUAAUAAACGGCAGAGCCGGCACCCAGCUGUACUGGCUUCCAAUUCUGUUAGCUUACCAGCGCAUCACAUUAUCUCCAUAAAUCCCCAUGAUUCAACUAAUAUUAGACGCCCCACAGGUAAGAUGCUUCAGAGUUAGAGGGGAGUUGAAGAUACCUUUGCCUUCAAAGAAGUAAGGAAUAAAACAAAGAUAAAACAGACAAUAAAAGACAAACCAUGAUAGGUGCCACGUGAAAAGUGGCAGAGUACUGCCGGGAAUCAAAGAACCGUGUAUAUCUGUCUUGGGGAUAAGGAAAGAAAGGCAGCAUGAAGGAGUAGGCAUUUGGGAUUGACCUUGAAGGAGACAGGGAGAGUUUUACAGCAAGCAGGGAUAGCAUGAGAAUAUAUAUGAAGGCGAAUCAGUGAAAGUUGUGUUGGGGAAAGAGCAAAGACUCCAGGGUAUGUUGAGAGGUAGAAAAGACAAAGGAGUAUGGGGCCUAAGAUACCAAAUGGAUGAAUUUAUAUUUAAUUCAGUAUUUUGAGUUUUUAUGGUUCAGAAGUUUGGGGGAAGAAAAGGAAGGUUUUUUUUUUUCUUUGUGCUAGUGAUUUAUCUGUGAGGGGAAGCAGAAAUCAGAGGUGGAAAAACGGACAGAUCUACUGUAGGCCAGGUAAAAAUGAUGAGUCUGACCUAAAGGGACAGCUAGGGGAAUUUAAAAGAGCAUAGUUGAGAGAUGAUGUGCAUGCAGUAUCUAUAGAAUUUGGCAACUGAUUGAUUAAUUGUGGGUAGGAAGAGAGAAAUCAAAGAAAGUGGAGGUUUUGAGUUUGUAGAUAAUUGCAAGAGAGAAAAGAGACAAUUACAAAGGAGAGGGAGCUACUUCUUGAGAGAUCAGUUUAGAUUUGGACAUUUUAAGAAUUCAAAGGGUUGUCAAGACAGCCAGAGAGACAUGGACACUAAUAAGUUAGAAAUAAAGGUUUUGUAAUAUGGGAAAGAGGACUGAACUAGAAAAUAGACUCAUAAAUAAUCAGCCUAGGAGUGAUAUUGCUGUGAGAUAAAAGAAGAAAACAAAGGUCAGAAUCUUGGAAAACACCCUCUUUAGAGUCUCGCUACUCAAAACGUGGUCAGUGGCCCAGCAGCACUGACAUGAGGAUGUUAGUUAGAAACUCAGAAUCUCAGGCUCCACCCCAGACCUGCUGAACCAGCAUCUUCAACUUAACAAGAACCCGAAGAGAUUUGUGUCACAUCAAAAAGUUUGAGAAGCUCUGAUCUAGGUGAGCCAAGCCAGCAAAGAAAGGGGAUGGAGCAGAAAAUGGGAGGAGAAUAGGGUAACGCAGAAUCAUCAAGACAAGGUAAAUUGGAGUUUCACAAAAACAGGGCUGGAAGGAGUGUUGCUCAACAAUAUCCAAAACCACAGAGGUUGAAAAGCACAAGGAAAGAAGGUAUGUUUGCACUUUGUGAUUAGGUAGUAGGGUCUUUGAGACCACAUUGUUCUUAUUGAAAGCCUGGGAAGAAAGAUCCCCUUUCUGGUCAAGUUUAGUCUAGGGAUCCAUCCCAUCUUCCCCAGUUCCCACGUGUAUGGGACAUGUCGAGAUAAGUAGAUAGAUUGGACAGUGGGAGAAAGUAGUUCUCUUCCAGUUGCUUCUAUUUUCUCAGCAAAGUGAGGAGCAAGAUCAUUUUGGCAGACUGCUAAUUGUCCAUCACAAUUUAGUCUCCCUUUCUCCCUGAAAACACAGACUGCUUUUCUCAGCCUCUCUUUCAGUUGCAUAUGGUCAAGUAUUAAGUUAUAGAACGUGAGCAGAUGUUAUGUCUGCCACUGUCAGGCCAAGGCGUUUACUUUGAGAGUACUUGUGCCUCUUUCAUGCAUUUUCCUUUCUGCCAGCUGGACCCUGGACACGGUGACUCUGAUUCAAUUAUGCAGAUGACCACAAACCUCUGGGGUUGGCAGAGCCACAAGAAAGAAGGUGCCUGGAUGAAGGAGAGCUACCCACUGACCUGGACACCCAAUUAUUCAUCUGUCUUAGAGCUAUUGGAAUCCUGGAUCAUUGUGGGAAAUGAAAGGAACUGGUUUUUAGCAAGGAGACCAAGAAACUCUACUCCCUAGGGGCUAGCAAUGAGAGAAAGGAAGCCUUAAGUCUUUGAGCACAGGGUGACAGUUUGGGUCCUAUGUGAGAUGAUCAAAUCCACAGCAACAGAGGAAAGGACAAAAGGAAAAGAUACUUCGAUGGAAUCAGCAGCCAUUGAUCCAAUGCCAACUCCAAGACUGGAACGUCGCAAUGAUAGUUCCAAGGCGGAAAUUUGACGUAAUUCUUUUCGACACAGUUUUACAGGCAUCUUGCAUGUGAAUAACUCACAACUUUAAUUCAUGGAACAAAUUGAGAAAUAGUCUUUUGGGGGUUUGGUACUCCCUGGAAACAUAAGAGUGCUUUGGGCACCUCUGGUGCCUUUCCAUGCCUGCCUUCUCUGCUGUUCUUGCUACUAGUGAAUUCUAAAUCAUGGCCAAGUGAUGCCAGCACUGGAUAAUAUUGGCUCUGCCCCAUAUCUCGAGGGAAAACUCUAGGACUUGGCAUUAUAUGUGUGGGAAUCUGGCCUUGGUUGGCACUCCCAGCAUGAUAGCGGGGUUCUCCUGUCUGAAUGUACUCUGGGGUGUGCGCCACAAUUUCUGUCAUCGAAAUGGAGAUGAGAGAAUAUGCCCUUGGUGGGGACACCCCACUGGAAUUAGAGUGAAGAGAUCAAAGCUAGAGGUUCUUAAAUCAAAGAAUAUCUAAUAGCAAAGACAAAAACUUGCUUAAGGGAAAUGCAUACAAGUACUAGACCUAAUAUGAUGAAAAAUGCCAACUUCAAUAUAUUGAUGCAUGCUUAGUACACUUUCAGUCCUGCAAAGACAAAGUUUUUUGUUGUUUUUUUUUUGAGACGGAGUCUCGCUCUGUCGCCCAGGUUGGAGUGC
rnacentral:lncRNA from 1 species